GCUUGUGCUUUAAUUUCUAACCCAAGACUUCGCAGUUAAUCUAUCCCAAGAAAGUCAACUCAUUUUAUAAAAAAAAGUAAAUUUGUAAACUAAAUAAUUUUAAAAGCAACUUUUCAUUUAGUCCAUAUAUUUUUUCAAACGUUGUGAAAACUAGAACUCCAAUUGUUUCCCGCCAUUUUUAAAUUUUAAUUUCUUGCUAACGAUUGUUUUAUUAUGUAAUAACAAAAGGUAACAGUUAUUCAGAAUGUUUUUUUUUGGAAAGUAAUGAAGAAUUAUCAAACUACAAUGGAAGUAUAGGGUACCAGCCACAUAUGAAUGCCGGCACCAAUGAACAUGAUGAACAGCAGCACAGAUAAAAGGACAUAUAACGCCACUGGGUAAGUUACUUGGAUAAAAGUUUGCAGCUACAUAGAGGACAUAGCCCAACUCUCCAAGCAUGAGUGCCUUUUUCACUCCAACAACCCUGAUGAAUAGUGGGGAAAAGAAGGAAGAUAGGAACGUAACAAUGUACCAGCCACAUAUGAAUGCCGGCACCAAUGAACAUGAUGAACAGCAGCACAGAUAAAAGGACAUAUAAUGCCACUGGGUAAGCUACAUGGAUAGAAGUUUGCAGCUACAUAGAGGACAUAGCCCAACUCUCCAAGCAUGAGUGCCUUUUUCACUCCAACAACCCGGAUGAAUAGUGGGGAAAUAAAGAAGGAAGAUAGGAACGUAACAAUCAAUUACCCUGUAUGAGUAAGGUCUUAAAGCAAUUACGCUCUCACCUUCCAUGUCUAUCUUAUCCCCUGGAUUAAACGAGAAAGAAAAUUGUCGGAAAAUUGAUACUGUGACCAAGAACAACUCCAUGUUUGCCAGCUGUUGACCAAGGCAGCUUCGGAGACCGAUAUUAAACUGAAUUACUUUGCUUGAUUUAAUAAACUUGCCAUUUGAAUCAAGAUGCCUCUCUGGAUUAAAGUCGUAUGGGUUUUUCCACAGUUUCUCAUCAUGGUGAAUUCCCCAGAUGUUAGUUAGUACGAUGGUGUCCUUUGGAAUCUUGUAUCCCAUGACCAUUGUAUCCUUAGAGGAAUAGUGAGGUACAGAGAGUGGGACAUUUGGGCGUAUCCGGUUAAUUUCCUGGAAGAAAAAUCUUUAUUUUCUACCCGCCACAUGCUAUACACCAUUGCCUUUCAUGCAUACAGUAAUGCAACUAACACAAAACUAGAAAACUCUUUCUACCUGAAUAACAGCUCGCGUGUAAGGCAUCUUCUCAGCAAGUGCCAUCUUUGGUUCUCCAUUUGAUCCAAGAACUUGAUCCGCUUCUUCUUGCAUCUUCCUCUGAACCUCCGGGUAUCGACAGAGGAAGAGAAUGAUCCAAGAAGUUGUUGAUGAUGUUGUAUCGGUUCCCGCCAUGAAGAGAUCUCGACACUGAAAGGCAAAGCAUUCAAUAUUUGUUAUAAGCAGUAGUAGCAUAUUCAUUUUACUUUGUGCACUGGUAAGGCUUAGUGCUGCCUUCCUCUUGGUGGCUGAGAAAAUAGUUGUACCGAUAUGUUAUAGGUACCUAAAUAUUUGUGAAAAUAACUCUUGUUAGACAAAUAGAGCUUGCAGUAAUUUAACUCAAAAAAACGUUUGCAAGUCUUGCACUUACAUAUUUCUUUCCAUAACCUACACUUACCAUUGCCACAAGUUGCUCAUAUGUAAAAGAGCUAUACUGUUUCCAAUUUGGGUCCACCUGUCCCCUGAAUCCCUCAAUACUUUCACCACCAGUUGUCUGUGUAGUUUCUGACUCUGCACAUGUAAUAUUAGUUGUUGAUCUAUGAAUGCUCUUUUCUGUUUUAUUUAUAACAGUUAUAUUGUUGUACUUUUAUUGUCUCAAACUUUUUUAAAGA